UUUGAUAAUUUCAUAAUUUCUGACAACUAAACAUACUCUUUCUCUAUGAUCCAGCAAUUGUGCUCCUUGGAAUUUAUCCAAAGAAGCUGAAAACUUAUGUCCACCCCAA